rnacentral:ribozyme from 1 species
AUGGAUAAAGAUAGAAAACGGAAGCAAGACAAUCAAAUAUAUGCAGCUUCGAAACGAAGACUUGAAAGAGUACUCGACGAAGAAUACUCCAAGCGGCCUCAUCGAUCUCGAUUGCAAGGCGGCAUCGGGUGAU